CCUACGGGAGGCAGCAGUGAGGAAUAUUGGUCAAUGGACGCAAGUCUGAACCAGCCAAGUAGCGUGCAGGAUGACGGCCCUCCGGGUUGUAAACUGCUUUUAGUUGGGAAUAAAAGGGGGCUCGUGAGCCCCGUAUUGUAUGUACCAUCAGAAAAAGGACCGGCUAAUUCCGUGCCAGCAGCCGCGGUAAUAGGGAAGGUCCGGGCGUUAUCCGGAUUUAUGUGGUUUAAAGGGAGCGUAGGCCGGCUUUUAAGUCAGCUGUGAAAGUCAGCGGCUCAACCGUGGAAUUGCAGUUGAAACUGGCAGUGAUGGGUACAGUUGAGGUAGGCGGAAUUCGUGGUGUAGCGGUGAAAUGCUUAGAUAUCACGAAGAACCCCGAUUGCGAAGGCAGCUUACUAAACUGUGACUGACAUUGAUGCUCGAAAGUGUGGGUAUCAAACAGGAUUAGAUACCCCGGUAGUC
rnacentral:rRNA from 1 species